AGAGGGUGGGACUCCUGCAGAGGUGACACAGGGCCCCUUCAGACAGCGAGUGGGAGAGGACGGGGAGGAGGUGAGCAAUGAAGAGUGAGGGACUAGCAAUUGGAAGGGGACCCGGAACCAGCUCUAACCUCUGACUCUCAAUUCCUGGCCUCACCACACACUCCUCCCAGCCUCUCACACUCCCUGCCUCGCAUCGCGGCUCGGACUCUGGCGCCAGGAUUCAUUAUCAGGGAGGCGGUGCCAAUGCCAGGAGCAGUGAAGGGGCGCUCACCACCACCUUAGGUCCUCGCAGCGACUCCCUGCGCAUGCGCGGCCAACGGCCUCCAGAGUAGCGGCAAAAAACCCUUUGCUGCCCAGUCUACGACUGAGAAGCAGGGGGGUGGGCGUGGCCUCCGGGGGUCUCCGCGCCACGCCCCCAAGAAGCCACACCCAGCGCCACGGGCACGCCCCCUCAGCGGACCGCGGCUACCCACUUGGGUCUCCCGGAAGCGGGCGGGCAGUGGGCGAUGCUCUCUACAGGCUGGGUGUGCCUGCCGCCUGCGGUUUCCUGUGGGAGGAAGCGGCUCGCGGCCACUCAGCUCAGCUCUAGCUUUGGAGGCCCAGGAUGGGGAGCUCUCUCCACCGCUCUCCGAUCUUCUGAUUCUUCCCCUUUUACGGAGUCCUAGCAUGGAGGACCCCCUGAACAUCCCCAGCAUACUCAAAUACGGUGCUGAUACCACUCAGAGAACCUGCUUCCGAGCUCUAGCCCCCCUGUUCUACACCUCAUCCGCUCAAAUUUUCAUCUCCCAAACUCCUGGUUCCUAGACUCCUCCCCAUACCAGAUCUGUCCCUCUGGCCCCCUUUGCAUGCGCUCCCUGAAAACCAGGUGACCCUCUAGCCUAGGGGGUCACCUAAGGGGACAGACCUAAUCUGUUCCUCAGUAACCCAGCCUUUCUAACUUGUUUGACCUGUGUCUUGCAGGACAGAAACUGAGUUCAGACCCCCAGUUUCUGUCCAUCUCAAAGACUUAAGUUUCAGACUGCCUACCUAUUUCCUAACCCCAGUGUGGGGUAGCUCAAGACAUACUGCCUUCCACCACCUGUGACAAGGAGGGAAUGUGUAUUGUUCUGGGAAUGGAUUGUAACUUUCUCCUUAACUCCUUUCAUGUGGGGCUUCUUGUCCUGUGACUAGUUCUUGCUGUAUGUACACAACUGAGGUAAUGUAGCUCUGGGCCACGAGCAGGUUUGUGCAGCCUGGACCUGGGCUACCUUUGUCUGGGCCCCUUAUAAUGAGCCUCAGACUGGAGGAGGCGUGGUCUCUAUCACACCGUCACACCAUUGGUGCACACCCUUGGAAUGUGAGUAAUAAACGGCAUGUCCACAU